rnacentral:rRNA from 1 species
GACGAACGCUGGCGGCGUGCUUAACACAUGCAAGUCGAACGGUGAAGCUCCAGCUUGCUGGAGUGGAACAGUGGCGAACGGGUGAGUAACACGUGAGCAACCUGCCCCUGACUCUGGAAUAAGCGCUGGAAACGGCGUCUAAUACUGGAUACGAGAAGGGUCCGCAUGGGCACUUUCUGGAAAGUUUUUCGGUUGGGGAUGGGCUCGCGGCCUAUCAGCUUGUUGGUGAGGUAAUGGCUCACCAAGGCGACGACGGGUAGCCGGCCUGAGAGGGCGACCGGCCACACUGGGACUGAGACACGGCCCAGACUCCUACGGGAGGCAGCAGUGGGGAAUAUUGCACAAUGGGCGAAAGCCUGAUGCAGCGACGCCGCGUGAGGGAUGACGGCCUUCGGGUUGUAAACCUCUUUCAGCAGGGAAGAAGCGAAAGUGACGGUACCUGCAGAAGAAGCACCGGCUAACUACGUG